rnacentral:sRNA from 1 species
UACUUGGGAGCUCCCACGGAUCGAACUUGUAGAGAUCAACCUCGGCGAUGAUGGCGACAGGAAGAGGAACAGAGUCUGCUUUUCUCUUGAGGUAGUGAACCACCAGUUCCUCGUCUGUGGGGUGGAACCGAAACCCCGGUGGAAGAUGAGGGUGCUGAUGAGUAUGAUAUUCUGAAGAUGAAGCCAUGCUAUUCAUGGUGAUGGUCACAGGUCUAGCUUCAACACUCUGCUAUAGUUCUCAUGCAUACAAUAAUACAACCCUGGUUGAGAGAAGGAGGCGAUGAUCGCAUGACAAGGAUUCGUGUUUUGUAAGAGUAGGGUUGGG